rnacentral:lncRNA from 1 species
UUCAACUACGCAUUUUUUCAUAAAAUAAUAUAACACGAAGACCCAAAAUUUUUAUUUAUCUUUCAACCACAUUCUUCAAAAAAUCACCAUUCCAAAAUACAUUUUCUCCCAAAAUCACAUUAAAAUGGAGCCCAAAAGAGGCCCAGUUUAGAAGGAAUAAAUGGCACUGUGUACAGGUAUAGAGCUGCAGCGGUUGAGCUUGUCACAAUUUGUGCUAGCUAGUGUGGGCUCGUGUUUGCGUAGCCCUUGCCCAAACUCUUUAGUUAAAAAGUAUUUUUAACGAUUGUACUUUGUAUAACUUGGCUGUAUUUAGAAUUCUGGGUUAUAAUUAUGCAGAAUUUUUUCAAAUGCUGAACUCUGAUAUACUGCAAUAUGGAUUGGAGAUAGUAGUGUAAAAAACAGGAAUAAAAUAAAUCUUAAAACAAACAUGCUCUCCUUAGUUAUUGAAGUCUAAUUUCAAGAUGCCCCACGAAUCAAUAAUCAGUUAAACAAAUUCACAAACAAAUCAACCGCUCUAAUUGAAAAAAAAAUUGCAGUGCAACCAACCCAAAGAGAAAUCUAAUCGAGUAAAAAUGGUUAAGUCAACCCACCUACCCAAUUAGUUUGGAAAAUUUAUUUCAUUUUAUACUGUUAUUAUACAAGAGAACUUCAAACUAGAAUUGGUUGGGGACAACCCUACAGGGAAAGACCCCUCCAAAAAUUGGUGUAUGCCACUAUUUGCAGCAAGCACACGGUAUUCUUUAGUAAAAGGCGAAAGAAUAGUUCGCUUUGAGCCUACUGCG